UCAGGAUGAACGCUAGCUACAGGCUUAACACAUGCAAGUCGAGGGGCAGCAUGGAGUUGCUUGCAAACUCUGAUGGCGACCGGCGCACGGGUGAGUAACGCGUAUCCAACCUUCCCUAUAGUAGAGGAUAGCCCGGCGAAAGUCGGAUUAAUACUCUAUGUUUUCCGUUGCAGACAUCUAAGAUGGAACAAAGGCUUGCCGCUAUAGGAUGGGGAUGCGUCUGAUUAGGUAGUCGGCGGGGUAACGGCCCACCGAGCCAUCGAUCAGUAGGGGUUCUGAGAGGAAGGUCCCCCACAUUGGAACUGAGACACGGUCCAAACUCCUACGGGAGGCAGCAGUGAGGAAUAUUGGUCAAUGGACGAGAGUCUGAACCAGCCAAGUAGCGUGCAGGAAGACGGCCCUAUGGGUUGUAAACUGCUUUUAUGCGGGGAUAAAGUUCACUACGUGUAGUGUUUUGUAGGUACCGCAUGAAUAAGGACCGGCUAAUUCCGUGCCAGCAGCAGC
rnacentral:rRNA from 1 species